AACAACUCUUCAUCUGACUGUCCACUUGUCAUCGACCUGACCCAAUACUUUCAAAUUGGGUCUUCUCAUGUUACUUCAGGUGAGCCUGCAACUGAAGUUGGUCCCCCAACGACUACCGUCGAUGAAGUGUUGGAGGUCGAGACUGAUGUUGAUGAGGACGAUCCCGAUUAUGACAUCGAGUUUGAUUAAGAGAAAACUUGUUGUAAUUUAUAUUAGUUAGUAUUUGAAAAACACUUGUUGAAAUAUUUAUCUGCAUAUUAGUUAAACUUGUUGUACUUUCUACUAAUUUCUAUUUGAUACACUUGUUUUAACAUUUGUAACUUUUUAGGAAAUAUGUUUUCUUUGUGGUUUGUAUUUGUUUACUUGAUGGCGGACGUGAUGCCCCGAGGACAUGGGGGAGAUGGAGCUGGGGAUCCACCAAAUCCGGAUCCUUUUAGGAGAGGGACGCAUGAGAUUGACGCGGUUCCCCCAAGGAAAGUUAGGGGUAAAGCCAAAAAUCAAAAGCUUCGCCGGCUGGUCAAAGCGGGGGGGCGUGUCUCUCUUACAUUCGAUAGGGAUGUAACGUUUACCCCUGUUGGUGAAACGAGCGACUUAUUUGCACGCGAGGCGGGUUUAUACAUGUGGCGGACCAUCCCUUUUGAUAGAAUAGGCUGGGAUAAAGUUCCGACUCCUUAUAAGGAGGCCGUGAUGAACCACUUAAAGGAGAGUUUCAAUUUCGAUGAAGUUGAACAGGAUUUGGAGGCGCGCGACUUAAAAGGCGGCAUUAGACAAGUGCUUAUGAAGCGGUACUCCGACCGCAAGAACGACGCUAAGGGAGAAUUUCGUGACAAUGGAGGUUAUGACGAUCUCGAACGUGCAAGGGCACACCACCCCAAGGAUAUGCCUUAUGAAAAUUGGCUAAAAACAAUUGAUCACUUCUUGGACCCCAAAUAUAUUGCAAGAAGUGAGGCAAAUACAAGAGUCCGCCAACUUCAAAAAUUCCCAAACCGUGGGGGUACAUCAUGAUACAGUAGCACCGCCUACAAACAUGGUUUGAAACGUCUUGAUACGUACCGCAAAACUCACACGGAUAAAGAUGGGAAUUUUGUUGACCCGGUAGCCGAGCAGAAUUAUCUUAAUCUAGAACGCGAGAUUAUGGGCGCAGAAAGCAGCGGUUCUAACCAGCCGAAUGAGGUUGCCGUGUUUCAAAACGUUUUGGGUGAUCGACGAGGAUGGUUCCGGGGGCUUGGGCCUAAACCUUCGAAUAAGGCAUCGAACACUUGUAAUGCGACGACUCAAACCGCACAACCGUUUUCGGAGGAAUACGUUUCGACUUUGUUCCAAAGUCCGGCGUUCAUAAAUCAACUCGAAUCCUUUCUUGCGGCGAGGGGAAAGCAAGUCACACCCGACGAUGAGUAUGACGAUGAGUAUGACGAUGACGACCUAACUUGAAUUCUUUGUUGCGGUUAUUUUGUACGGAUAUUAAUCGACUUUUAGGAUGUUACUUUUGGGAUUUUUUAGGAUGUUUAUUGUAUGUAAAUGUUUUAUGCGAUUUUAGUACCUAAAGCAUUAUGUUACUUUUA